ensembl:misc_RNA Metazoa_SRP Metazoan signal recognition particle RNA
GCCGGGCAUGGUGCCGCGUGCCUGUAGUCUCAGCUACUCUGGAGGCUGAGGCAGGAGAAUUGUUUGAACCCAGGAGGCAGAGGUUGCAGUGAGCCGAGAUCACGCCACUGCACUCCAGCCUGGGUGACAGAGCAAGACUCUGUCUCAA